rnacentral:rRNA from 1 species
GAUGAACGCUGGCGGCGUGCCUAAUACAUGCAAGUCGAGCGAACGGACGAGAAGCUUGCUUCUCUGAUGUUAGCGGCGGACGGGUGAGUAACACGUGGAUAACCUACCUAUAAGACUGGGAUAACUUCGGGAAACCGUAGCUAAUACCGGAUAAUAUUUUGAACCGCAUGGUUCAAAAGUGAAAGACGGUCUUGCUGUCACUUAUAUAUGGAUCCGCGCUGCAUUAGCUAGUUGGUAAGGUAACGGCUUACCAAGGCAACGAUGCAUAGCCGACCUGAGAGGGUGAUCGGCCACACUGGAACUGAGACACGGUCUAGACUCCUACGGGAGGCAGCAGUAGGGAAUCUUCCGCAAUGGGCGAAAGCCUGACGGAGCAACGCCGCGUGAGUGAUGAAGGUCUUCGGAUCGUAAAACUCUGUUAUUAGGGAAGAACAUAUGUGUAAGUAACUGUGCACAUCUUGACGGUACCUAAUCAGAAAGCCACGGCUAACUACGUG